rnacentral:rRNA from 1 species
GGAUUAGAUACCCUGGUAGUCCACACUGUAAACGCUGUCUACUAGCUGUGUGUGUAUUUAAUACGUGCGUAGCGCAGCUAACGCGAUAAGUAGACCGCCUGGGGAGUACGGCCGCAAGGUUAAAACUCAAAUGAAUUGACGGGGGCCCGCACAAGCGGUGGAGCAUGUGGUUUAAUUCGAUGCAACGCGAAGAACCUUACCUACACUUGACAUGCAGAGAACUUUCUAGAGAUAGAUUGGUGCCUUCGGGAACUCUGACACAGGUGCUGCAUGGCUGUCGUCAGCUCGUGCCG